rnacentral:pre_miRNA from 1 species
CCCUUAACCAUUAAAAGUUUCGUUUUGGUCCCUUAACUUAUUUUUUGGUUUCGUUUUGGUCCCUUAACUCUUCCUCCGUCAACCACUUUGGUCCUUUAUGUUAGGAUGAAUGUAUUAGAGUUAAGGUACCAAAAUGAAACCAAAAAAUAAGUUAAGGGACCAAAACGAAACCAAAAAAUAAGUUAAUGGACCAAAAAGAAACUUUUAAUAGUUAAAGGACCAAAAGAAAACCCAGAAAUAAGUUAAGGGACCGAAAUGAAACUUUUAAUAGUUAAGGGG